UACUGCGGAGGAUCAUUA
rnacentral:rRNA from 1 species